CGGCGCACGGGUGAGUAACACGUAUCCAACCUGUCGUCUACUCUUGGACAGCCUUCUGAAAGGAAGAUUAAUACAAGAUGGCAUCAUGAGUCCGCAUGUUCACAUGAUUAAAGGUAUUCCGGUAGACGAUGGGGAUGCGUUCCAUUAGAUAGUAGGCGGGGUAACGGCCCACCUAGUCUUCGAUGGAUAGGGGUUCUGAGAGGAAGGUCCCCCACAUUGGAACUGAGACACGGUCCAAACUCCUACGGGAGGCAGCAUG
rnacentral:rRNA from 1 species